GCCGACUCUGGGCAGGGCCAGGAACUACUCCUGGGCUAGAGCAUGGCCUGGUGAUUUCCCCUUGGUGCUCAGAGGUUUUCGGCUCUGACUGAGACCCUACAGUUUUCAUAGCAAACAACUCCCCAGGUUGGGGAGGUGGUAUAGCAGUCACAGGACUUGAAAGUCCAUUUGGAAGAGGUGAGGGACUGUCUGACUGAGUGAGGAAUCCGGGCUACUUGGGGGCCAGACCCAGCAUUGGCUGUGUGGAUUUGGGCAGGGGACGGAACUGAGGCUGGCGCCAUGGAGGAUUGCCCAAGAGAGUGGAGGCCCAGGCUGAGUCUAACAUGGCUUGUUAGGAGGCAGCCCUUCUCAUCAAGAGCCAUUUGCUAUUGGAGGACAUGGAUAGACUACCGCUUAACUGAGUACAAUAAUACUGACACAAUGGUCCCUAAGGGACUGAGUUGUCCCCAGGAGUCUCCAGCUGGGAGAAGGAAAAGGCUGAAGCCAUCCUGCAGCCAGAGGAGGGGCUCGUCUCUGGAAAGAGAUUCCACCCUGUUCCCACCUUCAGGAGAGACUGCAGCUGAGAUGGUGGCUCAGUGAUAGGAAACUUAGCAAGAAAACAAUUAUGGGAUGGACUCCGAAUGAUCCCCAAAUGGCCAUGAAGCAGAGAUGGCGGUCGCAGAGGAAAACCAACGAGGUUCCGUUUGCUCAAACCCGUGAUUCCGCAAACCGUGUAGCUGAGCUCUUCUCUAUCCGUGGUUCUAGAAUUUUCACCUCUCUCCUUCUGUCUAUGACCUCUCUGUUCAGUGUCUUACAAGCCCACUCCAUCCUAAGGUUAAAGUACAGUUGUUUAGCGUGGUUUAUUCUACGGGGAGAUGACAUGUCCCGGGCGAGGAGAAUGAGAAGAUCUGUCUAUAUAAUACAAAGUGAAUUAGAAUAUUCGCUCAUCAAUCCUCCCACAGGCUGAUGUAGAGUGACGUCCUCCAGGCAUGAUGCUGCUACUGCACUUUUGAACUCAGCAGCUGGGAUUACCCUAAGGAGACCUGCAUAAGAUUAGGCUUCCUGAUAUGAAGGCUGGGAGAGGCUUGCAAGCCCCGCUUCCCCCCAAAGAUAUAUAAGAAGCUGAACAGGGAAACGGGGAAGAUAGCAAGAUGGCUCGGUGGUUGAGGGCCCUUGUGGCUCUUCCGGAGGACCCAGGUUCAAUUCCCAGUCUUUACACAGUGGCUCACAAACAUCUGUAACUCCAGUUCCAAGAGAUCUGACUCCUUCUUCUGACCCUUUUCAGCAACCACUAAUGAGGUGAACAGACAUACAUGCAGGCAAAACAUUCAUACGCUUAAUUACUUUUAAAGAAACUAACAGGGGAGAGACUUAUGAGACCUUUAGCCCCAAGAUUUACCUAUUAGCUGCUAACUAUUGGUGGGAAAGAGUUACUUUUUCAUCUAGUUGUAUCAGUGCCUUUGCUUCUGUGAGCAACCGCUCAUGUAUACACCUGCAACUCAGAAUAAAUUCAACUAUUCGCCAAAAUAUACCUGGAAGGAAUCCCUUCCUUGUUCCUCCCCUUGAUUCCCUAUCUCGGUGAAUCGGUGUUCAUCUGCUGAAAAACGUUCAUACUUGCACAAGCAUUUAGUGGCCUGGAUCUGACUCAGGACACUUCCUUAGGAAAUGAGAUGGAAAUAUGAAACUCCCUCUGCCUCCCUUCCCCUGGGAGCAGCUGGGCAUUUUGUUUCCUUGCACGACAGACAGACAAGACAAAGACCAAGCAAAGUGAGGUAACAGCUGUGCUGGCAGGAUGCUUGGGACUGAGGAAGAGAAAAGGAAGGGAGGGGCAGACAGUUGCCACGCUUCAGUUUGGAGGGGGUAAGUUUAUGUUCUGAAAGUAUAGUGGCAGGGGGGCAAGGACAUAGGCUGGGCCGGUCAAGACACAUCUACAAUGGCUGUGGGGGCAGAUGAGAUUUGCUAUACUUCUUCAAUUGUUAAGACCACACUUCAGAAUCUAGACAGCAUACUUAUUCAUUUCCAGGCCGUGUUUACAGGGCAGAGUACCCAAAGACACACCAGAGGUCAGAGGGUCUGGACCCUUGAAGAUCAGAGAAGAUGCAGAUCAAAGAAUCCAGAAUCCCCAGUUUAGCCUACAGGCGUCCAGGGAACCUGGAUUGUGGGAGUUUAUGGUUUAGCAGGUCCUUAAGACUUGGUUGACGCCAAAUGAGGCUUUAUAGAAGGCCUGGAGUGUACCUCCUCAUUCAUUAAGUGAAAUCUCACUCAUUCAGUAAUUUAUUGAUCAACCACUUUGUUGUCUAGGCUCUGGGGACAUCAUUCCAGGUGAUGAUGAGCAAUUUCCUGUUUGGGGCUGCUAUAACGGGCUACCUCAGACAGGGCAACUCAUAAGGAGUGUAGACUUAUUUCUCACAGUUCUAGAAGCCUGGGAGUUCCGAGACCAAGGAGUGUGCAUCUAGUGAGGUCAGUCCUGCUGAUGUCAUCCCUAGGCAGAAAACAAGCAGCUGAGAUGAGAACUAGGUAAGAACAGAAGCUAAUCUGUAAGCCCCACCCACCUGAGAACAAGGUAACUUCCUGGAAUGCUGAGAGUUGUUGUUCUUGGAAGACAGCAAGCCACAAGUUUUUGAUUCCCUAAACAAGUGUUUGUUUAACCAUCUACCCUGGAUGCGCUUGACCACAUAGAAGCGGGAGGUAUAUAGGCAGGGAAUAUGUCAGCCCUCAUUUAGCCUGAUGGGAAAUGCACUGAAUUAUGGGUUUUGCCUUUUUAAGUCCCUGCAAAAUGUGACUUGGAUUCACUCAUUGGGAACCUGUGGGUGGACCUGACCAGAAUCCAUUUUUCUGGUUAGUACUUAAUUAAAGUUUGCUUCAAAUUUGGCUCAAAAAUGUGGAACUGGUCUUUCCCAGGCAAAUCUCAGGACUGACAUUUGGAGGCACCAGUGCGAUGAAAGAAAAUGUCUUGCCACCAAAAUUCUGGAGUGGGGCUCUUCACCCUGUGGCUGAUAGACCUCCUGGGGAUGGUUGCACCUUGGGAGGCUAACCCAUUGACUUUGUGAACUCCUGCAGUGAAUGGCUACUCUUGAAGAAGAUUGGAAGUAUUUUUUCCUACAAAGGUCUCCUUUUGGUAUAUCAUAGAAGUCAUUUUUAGCUUCUUCUUGUGAUAUUUUUCUACCUGGUGUCUGGAUUCUGGUUAUGAGUUACCCUGGUCUGGGAGUGGGGAAGACCUGGAGAGGUCUAUGUACUCCUGUUCAGAAUGACAGAGAUGUCCCAAGGCCUACUGGUUAUUUCUGGUUAAUUGGAGUUCAGCCAGAACCACCAAUUUUUCUCUUUUUACCUUCAUUGGAGCCUGAAGGCCCUCUCUCUGGUGAUGCUGGGAGCCAAGGAACAUGGACAGGACUCCAGUGUCUAGGCUGUGAAACAACUGAGGAACCAUAAGGGUGUUCCAUGACAAGCUGGGGACUUGGAGACGUCCAGAGUGGGUUCAAGAGCCAGGAACUCAGAGAGGUCAAGCCUCUAAUGGGUUCCUAGCAUUUGGGUUCUGCAGAAAGGGUAUAGAGAGGCCUCCUACUUGUUAAAAGAAUUUCUCUUGGUCAGACUGGUAAACCUCAGUGAUUCCAAUAGUUGGUGUUUUCUACUGUCAUUCUGGCUCCAUGUUUUUGUUGCUGUUUAAGCUCACUGUCUUGUCUUAUGUCUAUACCUUUAUUUCUGAUUUUGAGCAACUAAAUGGAUGAAUGACACAAAUGACAGAGCUUUGGGGACAUGGGGUUUGGUGGUGAAAGCUCAGGGAUCAAUGGACAGCUUUGAAGUAAAGAUCAGGGCCCCAUGCGGAAGCUGGCAAGUGGGCAGGUCUCAUUGGAGUUCUAAGGCUGGCACUCCAACUCCAGCAUCACAACCUUUAGCUGCCUGCUGUGGUGGCUCAUGAGAUUGCCCAGUCAUUGCUCUAACAACCUCCAGCCAUACCAGAAGGUUCCAUUGCCCUGCCCCACCCCCUCAGACUGACAACACUGGAGGAGGUAGUUAGGGGAAGCCUUAUCUGUUUUGGAUGUAUGAAUGUAUAGUGGCCACCACAUGUCUGACUUGUCUUGAAUAUGUGAGCUUACUGUGUUUGUUUCUCAUACCACUUGCCACUAGGGCUCAGAAUUUAUCUCUGUGCUUUUUGGCCUUUGGAUUUAAUGUAAUAGGAUUCAAAUAUCAUUUGUGUAUGGAUAUUAUUAAUGUUGUUUUAUGCUGUUCUACUUAAUUGAAAAGCUGUUCUGGAAUUGGGUUAUGGCUUCCCCUUUUUUUUUCAGACCCAGGCAUGCGUUUAAAAUCUCUAUGUCUCAGUCAGGAGCUAUGACAAGGGAAUAAAAGAGCAGAGCAGACCAGCUAAAGGGAUUAUUGGCUUUUAAGUUUAUUGAGCAUGUGGUUAAAACUAUGUAAUAUCUAUAACAAAAAGCUAACUUAAAACUCUUAACAUGUGGUCGGUAAUUGGAAAUCUAUGCAUAGGUAAUCUCAAAAGAACCAGGUAGCAUUAUUCCACUUGGGGAUAUAGCAAUAUGUGACCUGAUGCCAUCCUUAGGCAACCAUGUGGCUGGCAGCCACCUUGAUAGGACUGGAGAGGAUGUUCUGUGAUCAAGGGAAACCACAUGGUGUGGGACAACCCAGGAGACAACAACAGAUUUCCAGAUACUUUGAACUAUGGAUUUUGAACUAGGGAUGGAUUUUUUUUUUUUUGGUAUAAUACCUCCUGUUCUGUCUUGAAAAACUAGGCUUAUGAAAGAUAGGAUUUAAGAAUAAAGCUUGUUUAAUGAGAUAUUAAAACUGGACCUCCAUGUGUUCAUAUACAAGAAUGCACAUUUCUGGAAGCCAAACUUUCUAAUAAGAGUCACCCUGGUGGCAAUGGUUUGAGAGACAUGAAGAGACCAUGGGGGGUAGCUGAGGCUUGCCAAUGUGAGGCAGGGGACCCUAGUAGUUUUGGAGAUGCCAAUGUGAUAGUCUUCAGCAGCCAAGUGUGGGACCAGAGGAUGACCUAAGUCCCUGGGAAAUCCCCAGAAGAAUCCCAGUAUGGUUUGCACUGCCGGCAUUUGGUUUUGCCUUGUGCAGAUUAUGGUUGUACUCCAUAGCUUCACUUUUCACAUUGAAAAGGUACUUUAUUUUCAUAUUGCGGGAGCAUACAGGUGAGAGACCUUAAACUUCUUUAAGAGGAAACCUUGGAGUUUUAUUGAAAAUGUAAAUAAAAAAAUUGUCUAAUAAGUAUUUUAAAAAUCCCUGGUCAUGGGUUUUCCCACUAAUGCGGUAAGUCAAAUCCAGUUGAAUUAAUAAAUCCAGGUUUAAUAAAAAGAACAAAGCAAAGCACAGUGAAGCAACUCCCAGGUGACUCUUGGAAAGGCGGGAGAGAGAGCAUGUGGCAGGGCUUGUGACUGGGUCUUAAAUACCCUGUAGGCCUGGUAUGGAGCAGC